rnacentral:rRNA from 1 species
ACGGAGGGUGCGAGCGUUGUCCGGAAUCACUGGGCGUAAAGGGUGCGUAGGCGGUCGGGUAAGUCCGAUGUGAAAUCUCACAGCUUAACUGUGAAACUGCAUUGGAUACUAUUCGGCUAGAGAGUUGGAGGGGGGACUGGAAUUCUUGGUGUAGCAGUGAAAUGCGUAGAUAUCAAGAGGAACACCAGUGGCGAAGGCGAGUCCCUGGACAACUUCUGACGCUGAGGCACGAAAGCUAGGGGAGCAAACAGGA